rnacentral:rRNA from 1 species
GAUGAACGCUGGCGGCGUGCUUAACACAUGCAAGUCGAAACGGGAUCUGACCAGCUUGCUGGUUGGUGAGAGUGGCGAACGGGGUGAGUAAUGCGUGACCAACCUGCCCCAUGCUCCAGAAUAGCUCUUGGAAACGGGUGGUAAUGCUGGAUGCUCCAACUUGACGCAUGUCUUGUUGGGGAAAGUGUUUAGUGGCAUGGGGAUGGGGUCGCGUCCUAUCAGCUUGUAGGCGGGGUAAUGGCCCACCUAGGCUUCGACGGGGUAGCCGGCCUGAGAGGGCGGACGGCCACAUUGGGACUGAGAUACGGCCCAGACUCCUACGGGAGGCAGCAGGUGGGGAAUAUUGCGCAAUGGGGAAAACCCUGACGCAGCGACGCCGCGUGCGGGAUGAAGGCCUUCGGGGUUGUAAACCGCUUUUGAUUGGGGAGCAAGCCUUUUGGGGUGAGUGUACCUUUCGAAUAAGCGCCGGGCUAACUACGUGCCAGCAGCCGCGGGUAAAUA